UACGUAGGUGGCAAGCGUUGUCCGGAUUUACUGGGCGUAAAGGGCGUGCAGGCGGUCUGUUUAGUCUAGGGUGAAAGCUCCCGGCUCAACUGGGAGAGGUCCUUGGAUACUGGCAGACUUGAGGGAGGCAGAGGAAAGUGGAAUUCCCGGUGUAGUGGUGAUAUGCGUAGAGAUUGGGAAGAACACCGGUCGGCGAAAGCGGCUC
rnacentral:rRNA from 1 species